GUGCUUGCUUCAGCAGCACGUAUACUAAGAUUGGAAUGCUACAGAGAAGGUUAGCAUGGCCUUCGUGGAAGGAUGAUACGCAAAUUCACAGAGCACUCCAUAUUCUU